rnacentral:tRNA from 1 species
GAGGGUGUAGCUCAGUGGUAGAGCGCGUGCUUAGCACGCAUGAGGUCCUGGGUUCAAUCCCCAGUACCUCCA